CCUAUUUAUAAAGACAGAUACUCUCAGGAAAACUGCUGCUCCUAAACCUCUAGACAGACAAUCGCAUUUACUCUGAACUAAAAUUGUUAUUCCCAGGAUGGAGAAGAUGUUAUUGAUCUUCAUGAUUAUGUUUGCUCUUGGAAUCAACUACUGGUAUUGUACAGGGUUGCCACGGUAUGCGGAUCCCCUCGUGGAUGAAGCCUUCAAUGCCUCUGUCAAAGUAGUAAAUUCCAGGAUACCGAGGCCAUUUCUCUAUCGGCCAUACAGAAGUUCACUGAAAAAUGAUUUUGUCUCAGAAGAUAACUCCAGGAACCUAAUUUUUGAGUUCUUCAUGCAAGAAACUGUUUGCCGGAAAUACAGUGGGGCAGAUCUCUUUACAUGUGCCUUCGAAAGAAGGGCCAGCUGGAAUGUGUUCCUGUGUGAGAGCAGAGUGAAGGUGUCUGAAAACAGACGGCAGUCUGUGACUACUGAUUGUUACCACAUCUAGAAUUUGCCAGUACUUUCCAACCUUCAGGAAAUAUGGAAAACCAGACCCUAAUUACCAUGUCGAAUGGAAUCUGAUGCAGAAUAUAAUGAAUGAGAAGAUCUAAUGAAGAAAGAUAAUUUAUGAAUUGUGUAAGUUUUUUAUCAAUUGAAGCCUGUAAUAAAUGCCUUACUUUUCCUGUAAGA